rnacentral:lncRNA from 1 species
UUUAUUCACGCAAGUACACAAAAAAAUGGCAAAGAUUAGAAUGGACAUUUUCUCAGUUUUCUCCAAACGUAAAAAUCUAAAUCGAACCGACCACAUCGAGCUAUUGACUGAACUUUAAACCGGCGACCUCGACGGAUUGAACCUCGCUACUCGAUUGCAACAGGAACUCGAAGGGAAAGGGGUUCGUGCCAUGUGCCAUGGAUUCUCAUGAUUGUCUUAAGACUGUUUUUGAGGUGUUUAAGGCCAGAUCCGUUGUUGGUGGCGGGAGGUUGGUUUCCGGCGAGCUUUGGCGAGAAAGGGGAGAAGAAGAGGCGGUGAUAGGGUCAACAGUUGCGGCUGCUUUGAUGGUGAAGAGGUGACGACCCAGGCUUCGCUUCUCUAGUUUGUGUGAGGAAGAUGAUGACAAAGGGAGAGUGGGUCGUUUUAGAAGAUGAAGUCAGGGGUGCGGGUCUCUCGAAGAAGAUGAAGUUCUGCGCUACAAGUUUCUGAUUUCAGUCUCUCUCUUUUUCCCCCAUUUUUAGCUCAUUCAACAUUAAUUUUGUUCUCC